GACGAACGCUGGCGGCAGGCUUAACACAUGCAAGUCGAGCGCCCCGCAAGGGGAGCGGCGGACGGGUGAGUAACGCGUGGGAAUCUGCCCUUUGGUGUGGGACAACCACGGGAAACUGUGGCUAAUACCGCAUGAGCCCGAGAGGGGAAAGCAGCAAUGCGCCGAAGGAUGAGCCCGCGUCGGAUUAGCUAGUUGGCGGGGUAAUGGCCCACCAAGGCGAUGAUCCGUAGCUGGUCUGAGAGGAUGAUCAGCCACACUGGGACUGAGACACGGCCCAGACUCCUACGGGAGGCAGCAGUGGGGAAUAUUGGACAAUGGGGGAAACCCUGAUCCAGCCAUGCCGCGUGAGUGAUGAAGGCCUUAGGGUUGUAAAGCUCUUUCGACGGGGACGAUGAUGACGGUACCCGUAGAAGAAGCCCCGGCUAACUUCGUGCCAGCCGCCGCUGUAAAAC
rnacentral:rRNA from 1 species